rnacentral:rRNA from 1 species
AGUGAACGCUGGCGGUAGGCCUAACACAUGCAAGUCGAACGGCAGCACAGUAAGAGCUUGCUCUUACGGGUGGCGAGUGGCGGACGGGUGAGGAAUACAUCGGAAUCUACUUUUUCGUGGGGGAUAACGCAGGGAAACUUACGCCAAUACCGCAUACGACCUACGGGUGAAAGCAGGGGAUCUUCGGACCUUGCGCGAUUGAAUGAGCCGAUGUCGGAUUAGCUAGUUGGCGGGGUAAAGGCCCACCAAGGCGACGAUCCGUAGCUGGUCUGAGAGGAUGAUCAGCCACACUGGAACUGAGACACGGUCCAGACUCCUACGGGAGGCAGCAGUGGGGAAUAUUGGACAAUGGGCGCAGGCCUGAUCCAGCCAUACCGCGUGGGUGAAGAAGGCCUUCGGGUUGUAAAGCCCUUUUGUUGGGAAAGAAAAGCAGCAGGUUAAUACCCCGCUGUUCUGACGGUACCCAAAGAAUAAGCACCGGCUAACUUCGUG